rnacentral:rRNA from 1 species
UACGAAGGGGGCUAGCGUUGCUCGGAAUUACUGGGCGUAAAGCGCACGUAGGCGGCUUAGCAAGUUAGAGGUGAAAGCCCGAAGCUCAACUUCGGAAUUGCCUUUAAAACUGCAAAGCUAGAAUCAUGGAGAGGUGAGUGGAAUUCCGAGUGUAGAGGUGAAAUUCGUAGAUAUUCGGAAGAACACCAGUGGCGAAGGCGACUCACUGGACAUGUAUUGACGCUGAGGUGCGAAAGCGUGGGGAGCAAACAGG